UGCCCAGCAACUCCUAUCCCUACCUCCUCGUGGUACUGGCCGGGGUACGAGUAACCUUGGGGAAGAUCGUUACCAACCCCCGGUGGGAACUUUGGUCGUAUGCUGACAGGGAAGG
rnacentral:ribozyme from 1 species